rnacentral:rRNA from 1 species
UACGGAGGGGGCCAGCGUUGUUCGGAAUUACUGGGCGUAAAGGGCGCGUAGGCUGCUGCGCAAGUCGAACGUGAAAUCCCUCGGCUCAACUGAGGAACUGCGUCCGAAACUGCGUGGCUCGAGUCCCGGAGAGGGUAGCGGAAUUCCCAGUGUAGCGGUGAAAUGCGUAGAUAUUGGGAGGAACACCAGUGGCGAAGGCGGCUACCUGGACGGGUACUGACGCUGAGGCGCGAAAGCUAGGGGAGCAAACAGG